ACCUUGCACGGAACACUCCCAUGUCGUGCCACACUUGCUAAUAGACAUUUAAAAGUUUCUUCCAUCUGCCCAUCAUGUUCGAAUGGACCAGAAGAUACAAAACACAUGUUGUUUCUUUGUCAGAAGGCGAAAGAUGUUUGGAGAAAACUGGGAUUGCAUGAGGCCAAUAGUAAAGCUUGUGUUAUUGAUCGUGUGGGAGAGGCAGUUCUUGAGUUUUUACUUCUUAUGCCAGAGGAAGAGCUAUCUACAGUAGGCACCCAUAAUGCACAUGAAUUGAUUGCUAUAACAGCCUGGUAUUUAUGGUGGAAUAGACGGACGCUAGUUCAUGAUGGAAAGUCUCAAGAUGCAUACCAAACCUCAAUGGGAGCCCGUGCUAUAGCGGCAAAUUAUGUUAAAGCUCAUUCCUCGAGGGCAACAAUUAGAACAGGGGGUGGGAAAGACCUCCCACGGGUUCCGUGA
rnacentral:rRNA from 1 species